UGAAGAACGUAGCGAAAUGCGAUAGGUAAUGUGAAUUGCAGAAUUCAGUGAAUCAUCGAAUCUUUGAACGCACAUUGCGCCCCCUGGUAUUCCGGGGGGCAUGCCUGUCCGAGCGUCAUUGCUGCCCUCAAGCACGGCUUGUGUGUUGGGCCUCCGUCCUCCUCCCGGGGGACGGGCCCGAAAGGCAGCGGCGGCACCGCGUCCGGUCCUCGAGCGUAUGGGGCUUCGUCACCCGCUCUUGUAGGCCCGGCCGGCGCUUGCCGACACAUCAAUCUUUUUUCCAGGUUGACCUCGGAUCAGGUAGGGAUACCCGCUGAACUUAAGCAUAUCAAUAAGCGGAGGA
rnacentral:misc_RNA from 1 species